AGCCAAUAGAUACCCGGGUAGUCCACGCCCUAAACGAUGUCUACUAGUUGUUGGUGGAGUAAAAAUCCAUGAGUAAACGCAGCUAAACGCGUGAAGUAGACCGCCUGGGGAGUACGGUCGCAAGAUUAAAAACUCAAAGGAAUUGACGGGGGCCCGCACAAGCGGCGGAUUAUGUGGAUUAAAUUCGAUGCAACGCGAAAAACCCUUACCUGGCCUUGACAUGCCACUAACGAAGCAGAGAUGCAUUAGGUGCCCGUAACGGGAAAGUGGACACAGGUGCUGCAUGGCUGUCGUCAGCUCGUGUCGUGAGAUGUUGGGUUAAAGUCCCGCAACGAGCGCAACCCUUGCCAUUAAUUGCCAUCAUUUAGUUGGGCACUUUAAUGGGACUGCCGGUGACAAACCCGGAGGAAGGUUGGGGAUGACGUCAAGUCCUCAUGGCCCUUAUGGCCAGGGCUUCACAC
rnacentral:rRNA from 1 species